rnacentral:rRNA from 1 species
AGAGUUUGAUCCUGGCUCAGGAUGAACGCUAGCUACAGGCUUAACACAUGCAAGUCGAGGGGAAACGACAUCGAAAGCUUGCUUUUGAUGGGCGUCGACCGGCACACGGGUGAGUAACGCGUAUCCAACCUGCCCAUCACUUGGGGAUAACCUUGCGAAAGUAAGACUAAUACCCAAUGAUAUCUCUAGAAGGCAUCUGAAAGAGAUUAAAGAUUUAUCGGUGAUGGAUGGGGAUGCGUCUGAUUAGCUUGUUGGCGGGGUAACGGCCCACCAAAGCAACGAUCAGUAGGGGUUCUGAGAGGAAGGUCCCCCANACUUGGAACUGGGACACGGUCCAAACUCCUACGGGAGGC